CUUAGUGCUGUGCCAGCAGCCCCAUGUGCAGUGACAGUGGCUACCUGCGCGGAUGCGGAGAGGUGGCGGCUCUCUUGCCCCUGCUCGUGAAUGGUGUGCUCGCUUGAGUGCUUGUUGCGUGCUGGUUGCGGUGCAUUCACUGUUGUUGGAGUUCUGGGAAUGGGGGUACACAGACCUGCCUGCCUGCGGCCCAGGGUUGUCCCACUUCAUCGACCAAAAACCA
rnacentral:lncRNA from 1 species